GAUGAACGCUGGCGGCGUGCCUAAUACAUGCAAGUCGAGCGAACAGACGAGGAGCUUGCUCCUCUGACGUUAGCGGCGGACGGGUGAGUAACACGUGGAUAACCUACCUAUAAGACUGGGAUAACUUCGGGAAACCGGAGCUAAUACCGGAUAAUAUAUUGCACCGCAUGGUUCAAUAGUGAAAGACGGUUUUGCUGUCACUUAUAGAUGGAUCCGCGCCGCAUUAGCUAGUUGGUAAGGUAACGGCUUACCACGGCGACGAUGCGUAGCCGACCUGAGAGGGUGAUCGGCCACACUGGAACUGAGACACGGUCCAGACUCCUACGGGAGGCAGCAGUAGGGAAUCUUCCGCAAUGGGCGAAAGCCUGACGGAGCAACGCCGCGUGAGUGAUGAAGGUCUUCGGAUCGUAAAACUCUGUUAUUAGGGAAGAACAAAUGUGUAAGUAACUAUGCACGUCUUGACGGUACCUAAUCAGAAAGCCACGGCUAACUACGUG
rnacentral:rRNA from 1 species